rnacentral:lncRNA from 1 species
UGUCCCCUCUGCCCACCCCUAGCCUUCCUAACAGUGCUCCGUGGUUCAGUGUGGCUUCAAGUUGAAAACAUGGUGGGCAGGAGAGGUUUUGGGGGCUGGGAGUAAAGUGAAGUGGUUGACGUGGCCACUGUUUUUUAAGCUUCUGUGACUGGUUUGGUUUAACACUGAAGUGGAAUCUGUGUAUUAAAUGCUGUAAUGCCUUAAAAUUAACUCCCCCGAGAGCAUCUGCCUUAUUUUUCUCCUUUGGCUCUCUGUAAGUUUCUUUGGCAGGGUCUCUGCGAAUCUUAGGCUUCCUUAUGAAAAAGUGCUGCUUACUAAGUAUAGUUUAUAUCCUGAGCCCCAGGGAGAAAAUAGAGAAAAGAUUUCCGGUAAAAUCAACCUCCACGGAAGUUCAAUAGAGGGGCCUCUUCACGCUUGCCCCAGUUCUAAUCCUGCAUGAACGGUACUUUAUCCUCUUCCCUGCUGCAGUCUUGUGCUCCGUGCAGUCCCGUGCUCCAUGCAGUCCCUCUUCCAGGUAGCCGCUGGACUCAUCUCCACGCAGUAGGAAUCUGGCCGUAUCACCACUGCCCUCCCCUUACUGGAAACGCUUCAGUCCAAGUUCUGCAGCUCUGUGGCCUGACUCAGUCCUGUCAUACACACACCAGGCAGGUCUUGUUGGUGGAUUAAUGGGACUGGAUGAAGGGGACAUCAGGCAGUUGAAGUGGCUGAGGGAACCAGGGUUGAAGGCUACACCCCAUCUAAAGAGAACCAACUCUGAUUAUUGCCAUGGGAGAAUAUGGCCACCAUGUUCCCAGAUCCUGAUUGUUCAACAUAAUUUGGGGAAUCUGGGUUUUUAUAUGAAAGAGCCUAAUUUUCAAGCGUUGGUUUAUAUUUUUAAAAAUACUAUAUGGGCCAUCAACAAAGCAUGUCUGUGGGCCACACACCCACAUGCUAGGACCACUUUUGCCCUUUGCUGUGUGCCCCAAGAUGUUGGCAGCUCCCUAUAAAUGCCAUGCCCUUUCCUCUCUGUGACUUUCUCCGUCCUGGUCCCUAUGCUGUCUUUGGCAGGUCAACUUGUCCUCAUAUAGUGCUUGUAACAGCUAUGUGACUUUGGGCCAGUUACUCACCAUCUUGAUGCCUCAGUUCCCUCCUCUAUAAAGUGGGAAUAAGGGUGACCGGGAAGAAUACGUGAGUCAACAAAUGCAAAGUGUUAGAAAAUGCUUGACAUAUUGUUCAUCAGUGUCAUCAUCAUCAUCAUCCUUAUUAUUGUCCUCCAUCUAGUCUUGGCUGUCACCUCUGAGAUGCCUGCCUAGACUCCUUGAAAGCAGGCUGUCCCCACCCCAUCCCAAUUCUUUCACACCCCAUCCCCACAGCCAUCUCACUGCAUUGAUUAUCUGUUGGCUUCUCAGUACCCCCUGGGCUGUGGGCGCCUUGAGAGGAGGAAUAUCUUUCUCUCCAUGCACAACUUCGAACAGCGCUUGGCCCGGAAGAGGCCUCCAUAGAGGCUUACUGAGUGGAUGCACCUUGCAUGAACAGUGGUCUGGAAGCCUGAUACCACUUGAUAUUUCUACCCAGAUGUUAUUGUUACCACCCAGGCCAAGGAUGUGCUUCUUCUGGAGGCACAAAAAGGUGGGGCUUGUCUGGCCCCACCACAGCAUGACAUCUAUCCCUCCUCACAGUUCCCCUCUCUGAUGGAAGCAAGGAAACAGGAAGUGAAACUGACAGGCACUGACCAACCUGGUUUCACAUCGGGGUGAAUGAAAAGGACGAGCCCCCCACUCCCUGGGGUGGGGCAGGAGGGAGGUGGGGGUGGGGAUGGGACAUGAGUCAUGGUGUGUCAUCGAGAUUUUUUUGGAUGCAUUUUUCAGUUUCAAAAGCAUGAGGCGUUAUUACUAUGGGUUGAGAACCUGGAGCGCCAAAUGACUGUGUCCCAAACAGGAUGGCGCAAUCGGUGUCUGGUAAAGUACCUGGGAGUUUUCUUUGUUCCAAGUGGGGUUUGUGGCUGAGCACAGGGGCCUUACAGUGAGGUUAUGGUCCCCAUACAGUAGCGAUCCGGAAGAUCUGAGCCCUGACUAAUUCUUCUGCCCUUAAGCUGGUGUUUAAAAGAAAAAAAAAAAAAAA